AUGGCAUCUUCCUUUUUUCCUGCACUCAACUCUUUCUUUCAUUUCCUUUCUAGACAGCUUCUUCUCCGAGUUUGGUUCCUUUCAAACCUAGCUAGAGGUCUCCAUGGCAGCACCUGGGCAGGAAAUUCCCUUCGGGCCAUAUCCUCACAUUGACAGGAACUUCAAUGACAGAAACUAUGAGCGCGUAAAUCAAAUAAUAUUAUACGUCGGCGGAUCGGAAGAUAAUGAAUAUAUUGAGUAUAAACAGACGACCGGCAGCAUAACCAUUACGCAGGGAGCUCAAAAACACAUAACCAUGCCCGUAGCUAGUGGAUACUAUGAAAGCGUUGACGCGUCAGGACACAAUCUUGGAUUCGUAAAAAAUCCCGGGGAAACAUGUUCGUCUCCUUUUUGUCCAUCCCCAGCAGAUAAUAGCAAGUUGGUUGGAUUCUUUGAUAUAGAAUCGAUUGGAGCAUAUUUUCAGAAAUAGACCAAUAAUUAAAAUUUGGACAUGAUCAUCCACUUUACCGUAGUAGUAUUAUUAUUAUAAAUAAAGUAAUUUGGAUAAUGAUCAUGAUAUAUCCACAUUUUAAUGAUAUGGUAUUAUAUAUAAUCAAUAAUUAACUCCAUUUCCAUGGGAUCUAUGCACUUAUAUAUAUACAUGGAUGCUUUGUGUUGUCCUUUAAACUUGCCCAAAGUGGUUAAGACAACACAAAUUUGUUUCCAUGUGUGUGAUUUCAAGUAAUGUUUUUCAAGUUAGUGGGUGUGACAAGUUUGAAAGUGUGCUUCCAUUAUACAUGUGUGUAUUUUCUAAAAUAAUGUGUGUUGUAAUAAGAUUUGUGUGUCUUA